GGGUUUCCUGGUGGGCGUCAGGGGCAGGCGACAGAGUGGCGGCCGCUACGGCCCUGGAACGGGGCCAUGGAGAAGCUGCGGCGAGUCCUGAGCGGCCAGGACGACGAGGAGCAGGGCCUGACUGCGCAGGAUUCACAGAUUAAUCUCUUGAGGUCCUGGAUGCCUCAUCCCUUAGUUUCAACACCAGAUUGAAAUGGUUUGCCAUCUGCUUCGUAUGUGGCAUUUUCUUUUCUAUUCUUGGAACUGGAUUGCUGUGGCUUCCGGGAGGCAUAAAGCUUUUUGCAGUGUUUUAUACCCUCGGCAAUCUUGCUGCGUUAGCCAGUACAUGCUUUUUAAUGGGACCUGUGAAGCAACUGAAGAAAAUGUUUGAAGCAACAAGAUUGCUUGCAACAAUUGUUAUGCUCUUGUGUUUCGUAUUUACCCUGUGUGCUGCUCUUUGGUGGCAUAAGAAGGGACUGGCUGUGUUAUUCUGCAUAUUGCAGUUCUUGUCAAUGACCUGGUAAGUCUUUCCUUACCCUAGUGAAGUGUUAAAAUUGCCUGAGAUGUGACGAGCAUUUUGUUUGGGACCUGUGAAGCCCUAGCAUUUCGUCUGGUGUUUUGGAGCCAGACAGGCCCUGCAGGGUCAGAGGAGGGGAGGUCUGCGAUGAGUCCUGUUGCACUUGACAGCGUGGCUCAGUGGUACUGUUCGGGAGAAGUAUGGGGUGCUGUGCUCGUAGAGUUACAUAGUGAUAUGUUCUGCUUCUUUCUAAUGUGAGAAAGAGAAAUAAUAAGAAAAGUAGGUGAUGCCAUGUGAAUACAUAAAAGUGAGACCAAAUCACAGGGUGAGACCAAGGGAAGAUGAGUUUACCUGCAUUCUCCACUCUAUUGCUAGAUAAAUACAAGGUGGAAUUUAUCCUGAUGUUGACUCUGUGGCCCUGUGAUAUCUGGAGAUGUCUUCUGAAUUGGCAGUGAUUAAAUACUUCUUAAGUUACUGGUUGAGCAUCCCAAAUCCAAAAUGCUUCAGGAUCCAAAACUUUUUUUUUUUUUUUUUUUUUUUUUGAGGCAGAGUCUCACUGUCACCCAGGCUGGAGUGCAGUGGCAUUAUCUUGGCUCACUGCAACCUCUGCCUCCCGGGUUCAAGUGAUUCUCGUGCCUCAGCCUUCCAAGUAGCUGGGAUUACAAAUGUGAGGCACCAUGCCCAGCCCCAAAUCCAAAACUUCUUGAACGCUGACAUGAUGCUCAGAUUUGGUUGAUACUCAACCAGUAAAUGUAAUGCAGAUAUUCCAAAAAUCCAGAAAAAUCCAGUAUCCAACACAUUUCUAGUCCCUAUCAUUUCAGAUCAGAGAUGCUUCACCUGCACUGCCUUUCCCAGUCCACUUUUGUGAAUAUUCAGUCAUGUCCUGGUCUCUGCUCAGACUCUCCUCCUUGUAGCCUUUUUGUGUCUUGCACAGUAAGAGCUCAUCUGCAUAAAGGCCAUAAAUAUCUGGGUGGUUGAUUAAACGUGCCCUGCAGCUCCUGCGCUCUUCUGUGUUAGUGAAGAGGACUUUUCCUUUUCCUUUAGAGCAGCUCUUGCUUCCUAAUUUUUGCUUCCUGUUUUUGCCAUUUUACAUUCCUCUUACUCGAUGUUACCCAGUUUGGGAUCGCCUUUCUUUUGGCCCUCUUUCUACUGACAGGUGAAACAUCAAUGAAUGUUAAAUGUAAUUCUCUGUAUAUCUCAAAUUCACCAUAAAAUGUUCUUUACUUUUUUUCACUGAUAUGUGAAGAAACUUAAUCUCUUGGUUAUUUUCUCUAGUAUUUUGCCUUUUAUUGCCUAAUUUGUAACUAAUAAUUGAUUUAUCCCUAAAGGAGACUAUAAUUAUCAGUUGUGGUACAGUUUCUAUUUUAUUAUAAGAAGCUCAAACUUCAGCAUGCACCAGAAUCACCUAGAGAGUUUGUUUAAAGUGCAGGUUGCUUGUUAAAGCAAGCUUGUGAUUUAGGAGGUUUAAGGUAGGACCUAAUAAUCUACAUUUUUAACAAGUUCCCAGAUGAUGCUCUCACUGCUGGUCGGGGUCACACUUUGAGAACCACUGUACAGUCUCAUGCUGCUGUAUUUAUUAUAAGGUUAGACAUGGCCUUUUGGCAUAAAGAAAAACCAUCAUUCAGAUGAAGAUUCAACAUGCUUGAAUAUUUCUUGCAGGUAUAGCCUGUCGUACAUCCCAUAUGCAAGGGAUGCAGUUAUUAAAUGCUGUUCUUCUCUCCUAAGUUGAAAAUCAGAAACUUGUGGAAAAGAGCACUUGAAUGUUGGUACUCUAUGUUUGGUGAAGUUUGCUUUUCCCCAUAAAAUACUCCAGGAACAACUGACGUGACAGUUGAAGACCGUUUUGUACUAAGUCUCAUUUUGUAUACUGGUAAAAACUACAUGCUUGAUUAAACCAUUAAAUGCUUGUAACUUUAAAUUCAUUAUGUGUCAUUAAUAUACUUUUACAAAGAUAAGAUUUUUAAUCACUGCCAGUUGUAAAUUAUUUUUAGCCAAUUUUUAAAUCUUUUCAAAGCAGCUUUGAAAUGUGAAUAUUUAAGGGUAGACCUGUGCUGCAAGAUAAUUAAACUUUUUUGCUUUUAAAAAA
rnacentral:sRNA from 1 species